GACGAACGCUGGCGGCGUGCCUAAUACAUGCAAGUCGAACGGUCUUUUCUAUGGAAGCUUGCUUCCACUGAGAAGAUAGUGGCGAACGGGUGAGUAACACGUGGGUAACCUGCCCAUAAGAGGGGGAUAACAUCCGGAAACGGGUGCUAAUACCGCAUAGUUUUCUUGAUCGCAUGAUCGAGAAAGGAAAGACGGCCUUUGUGCUGUCACUUAUGGAUGGACACGCGGCGUAUUAGUUAGUUGGUGAAGUAACGGCUCACCAAGACGAUGAUACGUAGCCGACCUGAGAGGGUGAUCGGCCACAUUGGGACUGAGGCACGGCCCAAACUCCUACGGGAGGCAGCAGUAGGGAAUCUUCCGCAAUGGACGAAAGUCUGACGGAGCAACGCCGCGUGAGUGAAGAAGGUUUUCGGAUCGUAAAACUCUGUUGUCGGAGAAGAACAAGUCGGAGAGUAACUGCUCCGGCCUUGACGGUAUCUGACCAGAAAGCCACGGCUAACUACGUGCCAGCCGCCGCGGUAAUAC
rnacentral:rRNA from 1 species